AAUUACUGCAGUUAAAUGACACCUGCCAUGGAUUCCCCUUCAUGGAUUAGCUUGCUCAUGUGAAAGCAGCAUUAACCUGGCCUAAGUGGCAGUUUCUGAGUGGGUGGACACUGACGGCCCAUCCCUGACACUUCGUUCCCAGCAGCCCGGUCAGCAGAUCAGUGCAAGAGAGCAACGGCUGAAGGGUACAAAAAUUUCAAAUUAAGUUUAAGGUCACUCAGAAAACAGCCAUCUCUGGGAUCAAUGGUCCCAGUAAACAGCAGUUCUGUUGAUGUCAGAGGGUAUUGAGCUAACAGGUAUGCAGAAGAGCACCUCUGAAAGCACAACAUGUCAAACCCUGAAGCACUUUGGCAGCAGAACAAUCAGUUGGGGUGUCACUUCUCUCAGCUAAGAACAGGAAACUGAAUCUACAAGCUUAGCAAAACUGGACGGUGGCAGAUUGCCUGGUCUCAUAAGUUUCAGUUCCUGCUGCGACAUUCAGAUGCAAUGGUCAAAAUUCAGUAUUUAACCACCACAGCCUGCCUGAGUAUUGCUGUUGACCAUUAGGCACACAAGGUAUGACCAUAUCUUGUGCACCAUGUCGCAAAGCUCACAUCAUCUCAAACUGGUGUCUUAAACAUGACAAUGAGUUCAUUGUACUCAAUAGAGCACUUUUGGGAUGCAGUGGAACGAGAGCUACGCAUCAUGGAUGUGCAGCUAACAAAUCCGCAGCAACUGCAUGGCGCUAUUUUUUUUUUCUUUUCAAUAUGGACCAACAUCUCUGAGUAAUGUUUCCAGCACCUUUGUUGAAGAAUUAAGGCAGUCCACUUCAGCAACAUGUACCUAAUAAAGUGGCUGGUGAGUGUAUGUAAAUGGAAAAAAAUCUGAUCUGUUAUUAAUCCUGUAACACCAAGUUUAUCAUAUUUGAUACCCAAAUUUUCAAGGGGUUUCAAGGCUUCUACAUCAGUGUGAUCUAGAAAAACGUUGGCCGUAGCAAAUUAAAACUCCUAUUUUUGUCAGAAGGUUCAAUAAACACGUUUUCUCCGAGGAAGCCUUGAAUGAAAAUGUAACUAUAUGAAGCAAUAGAAGCAAAUAUACCUACAACACCUUGUUGAACCUUUUGUGUACCUUUUUAACCAUGUCAUUCCCUCUGUGUUUUCAGAAAAACUGAGUUGUCUGAUGAUGUAAUGAAGAGAAGCUUUCAGUGGGCUGCCGCCAAACAAACAUGUUCAGCUUUAAUUAAAUGGUUGAACAGAGCGUGCUCAGUCUUACGGCUGGUCUGUUUCUACUCUUAUAUAUUUAUAUUUUCCUAUGUCUGUGCUCUUCUCUCUUCCACGCUGUUAUUUUUGAGUCUCCAGCUUUCUCCCCACAGCUCCUCAGCAUCUGCUGGACUAGAAUAAAUUCACUCUUUACUUAAGAAAUACUUCAUAUCCCAAGCGUGUGCAUCUGUUGUGUGUCAGCUGGCUGUGUUUGGGUUUUUAUUGAAAAAAACAAAACAAAAAACACGAGUCUGGGGUAAAUGGGCUUUUAUAGUAGAUAUCCAUGUUUUGAGCAGAAAUCUCAAACAUUAAUCACACUUGUCACCAAACUGGAGCAUUACAUUCGGAAUAUUUGGGAUUAUGAUCAUUUUAUUAUUACUAUUAUCAUCAUUUUACAAAUUGCAUGUUCUCCCUAUGGCUGCAUGGAUCACUUUAGACAAUCGAGCUCUCCACACAGUCCAAAGACAUGCAUGUUAGGUUAACUAGGGUUGGAUGAUGUUGAUCAUGUUAGCUCUGUGAUGAGUGGGCAGCCUGUCUAACGUAGACCUGUGUUCUCAGGUGGGAUUGGCUCAAGCCACCUGUGACCUUGAAUUUGAUAAGCAUGUAAGAAAAUGGAUGGAUUUACAUGAAAUAUACCAACAUGGAAAAAGUAAAACUGGAUGCAGAACGUUUAGCUUUCAGGCCCCGUCUGUAGAUUAGCCAUAAAAAUGUCCUUUUUGAUAAAGCAUCUAGUUUACAACCCUUAGCUCCACUGCUUAGGCUGCUGAGGGUUUCCCAUGAUGCACUCGUUUGCUCUCUGUGUGUUCACACGCCACUGUGCGCUUAAUUGUGUUUUUGUCUUGUCCUGUCUUACUAGCUUCACCCUCAACUGGUUGCAGCAGACGGCUGCUCCUCUCUGGGCCUGAUUCUGCUGGAGGUUUCUUCCAGUUAAAUGGGGUUUUUCCUUCCCACUGUUGCCAAGUGCUUGCUCUAAGAGGAUAGUUUGAUUUUCAGGGUUUUUUAGUGCUCUGAGGCAGCUGUUGUUGUAUAGUUUGGUGCUAUAUAAUGAACAGCUAUAUGAUGAAUAGCCAGCAUAAAUACCACACGCAGGU